UACGGAGGGUGCGAGCGUUGUCCGGAAUCACUGGGCGUAAAGGGCGCGUAGGUGGCUUCUCAAGCGCGCGGUGAAAGCCCGGGGCUCAACCCCGGGUCGGCCGUGCGGACUGGGAGGCUCGAGCACUGUAGGGGCGGGUGGAAUUCCGGGUGUAGCGGUGGAAUGCGUAGAGAUCCGGAAGAACACCAGUGGCGAAGGCGGCCCGCUGGGCAGUGGCUGACGCUGAAGCGCGACAGCGUGGGGAGCGAACAGG
rnacentral:rRNA from 1 species